AACGCGAAGAACCUUACCUGGGCUCGAAGUGCUACUGACCAGCGGCAGAAACGUCGCCUUCUCGCAAGAGACAGUAGUAGAGGUGCUGCAUGGCUGUCGUCAGCUCGUGCCGUGAGGUGUUGGGUUAAGUCCCGCAACGAGCGCAACCCUUACUCUUAGUUGCCACCCGCAAGGGGGAACUCUAAGAGGACUGCUCCGGAUAACGGAGAGGAAGGUGGGGAUGACGUCAAGUCAGCACGGCCUUUAUGUCCAGGGCCACACACGUGUUACAAUGCAUGGUACAGACUGUUGCGAUCCCGCGAGGGGGAGCUAAUCGGAGAAAACCAUGCUCAGUUCGGAUUGCAGUCUGCAACUCGACUGCAUGAAGCUGGAAUCGCUAGUAAUGGCGUAUCAGAACGACGCCGUGAAUACGUUCCCGGGCCUUGUACACACCGCAUAC
rnacentral:rRNA from 1 species